rnacentral:tRNA from 1 species
GGCCGGCUGUGGCUUGGCACGGGGUGUCGGGGUUUUGGCCCCCGUGGCGCCGCGUCGUGCGCCCGACGUGUCGGCUU